rnacentral:rRNA from 1 species
GACGAACGCUGGCGGCGUGCUUAACACAUGCAAGUCGAACGGAAAGGCCCUGCUUUUGUGGGGUGCUCGAGUGGCGAACGGGUGAGUAACACGUGAGUAACCUGCCCUUGACUUUGGGAUAACUUCAGGAAACUGGGGCUAAUACCGGAUAGGAGCUCCUGCUGCAUGGUGGGGGUUGGAAAGUUUCGGCGGUUGGGGAUGGACUCGCGGCUUAUCAGCUUGUUGGUGGGGUAGUGGCUUACCAAGGCUUUGACGGGUAGCCGGCCUGAGAGGGUGACCGGCCACAUUGGGACUGAGAUACGGCCCAGACUCCACGGGAGGCAGCAGUGGGGAAUAUUGCACAAUGGGCGGAAGCCUGAUGCAGCAACGCCGCGUGCGGGAUGACGGCCUUCGGGUUGUAAACCGCUUUCGCCUGUGACGAAGCGUGAGUGACGGUAAUGGGUAAAGAAGCGCCGGCUAACUACGUG